CUGACUGGGAAUAAUACACUUCCGGCCACUGUGCAAACGCGACAGCAGAAAGGGAAAGCACACUCACCUCCGUCCGGAGCCGAUAGUUGGUGGUUGGUUUACACGCUGCAGGGGCACCGACGACCAUGGACAGGUGUUGGGUUUCGGCUGCCACGAGGGGUGGCUGGAAACCCCGUUCUUUUUCACGGUGGGGACGAGCUGAACUGCCUCUUUCCACGAAUGGGGCCCUCAAGACAGCUGUAUCAGACGGGUGGAACAAGAGAACAGGAAUCUCAAAGAAAAAUCGUCGAGCAGUCGUGACGUUGUGAAGCAAACUUCUCCACGGAUCCACGGUCGCAAUCAUCCAGAGACAGGAUUCGUGUGUGGAGACCGAUUUGGCUUUUCCGACGACGUUGAUCGACAUCCUGAGAAGAAAACCAGGAAUCUUCGCGUUGUGCUGUAACGCAGUUGCGGAAGUUUGUUCCAUGUCGCUUUUGCCGGAGAAUUGUGUGUUUUUUAUGUUGUCACCGUGGGCUCGAAGAGGCUAGGUAAUGCCUUUUCUACCAAAGACUAUCUAAGGUGAGGAGCGAAACCUGUAAACGAAGUGAGAGCAGCCGGAUCAUUGCAAGAGGGAACUAUCUGGCGCAAUAGCAAUCGAGACAGCCUGCAACGAAGCCGAUGAAGUAUCCAGUUCAUUCACCAAAACUCUUUUAGCCUCCUGCACAGCACAGUCAUUCAGGAACGAACGAUAGCAAGCAGAAUGACCCUGGGGUGGGCCCCCUGUAUGGGCCAGUUCGUCCGCCCGAACGGAGUCGAUGAAGAAACUUCAGUCAGGAGCCUG
rnacentral:lncRNA from 1 species